rnacentral:tRNA from 1 species
UGGGUCGAUGCCCGAGUGGUUAAUGGGGGCGGAUUGUAAAUCCGCUGGCAACGCCUACGCUGGUUCGAAUCCAGCUCGGCCCA